rnacentral:sRNA from 12 species
ACUGUGGAGUGUACAAGAACUUGUGAGGAGAGUAUUGUUUAUAAUCGCCAAAGUAUACACAUUGAAGCAGUAG